rnacentral:rRNA from 1 species
UACGAAGGGGGCUAGCGUUGUUCGGAUUUACUGGGCGUAAAGCGCACGUAGGCGGAUCUUUAAGUCAGGGGUGAAAUGCCAAGGCUCAACCUUGGAACUGCCUCUGAUACUGGGGAUCUUGAGUUCGGGAGAGGUGAGUGGAAUUGCGAGUGUAGAGGUGAAAUUCGUAGAUAUUCGCAGGAACACCAGUGGCGAAGGCGGCUCACUGGCCCGAUACUGACGCUGAGGUGCGAAAGCGUGGGGAGCAAACAGG